rnacentral:lncRNA from 1 species
AUAGACCUAAGUCCUAUACAAUGUGUAUGUAUGUUAUGCUUGUAUGAUCUAUAUAGUAUAUAGGAAGUACAUAUGAACCUAGAGCUAACUCUUAGUCCUUCUCCCUAGCUUAGUUAUCUUGAGAUGAUUCUUAUGUGUGUCGCACUACCCUAUCUAUCAUUAUCUUACCCCUACCUUGAGUAGUGUCUCUAUCCAUCUUAUGAUAUACUCAUAUGCAUAGUCAAAUCUUUUGACCUACCCGCCUUCCUUUGGAAAAUACGAUACCCUUGGAAAUACUCUUGGGUGAAAUGCUACAAUGGUAUAUCCAUGUGCUUGUGAAUUUAUUUGUGAUCGUUAAAUAUACCAAUGGAGCGCUUGAUAAAACUAAGAGAUUGAUACGAUGCAACUUAACAAAAUCAAACGACUCAAUAACUGUGAGCAAUGUCGAAGACAGAUAGAAUAUUGGAAGAAGCCUAGAAAGUUCUAUUUGCAAUCUAAGUAACUCAAUAACUAGCCUUACACCAAGAGAUUAGAAUAUUGGACAAGGCCUAGAAAGUUCUAGUACAGAUAACUUAAUGACCGGAUGACGGUACUUAGAAGCUCGCCUGAGAUCGAAGCCGAUGCAGCCCUUCGCGCAAGAAGAAACUCGUCGACUUCUACUCUACUCCUACUCCUAGGGUUUGACAGCGUGGCGUCAAAAGGUUGUAUUGAUUGAUUGAUGAUUCCUCAAUACAAAGUUGAUGGGCUUAUAUUUAUACCUUGGAGCAAACUAAAAACCUAAUUAGUUACGACAUGAACCAUUACAACGAAUCUAAAAAGCUACUAAAGAUAACUCUCCACGUUUUCCCUUAUUUGGCGGAGUUGAUUUCGCUUAGGACUGGUCCCUUCUGGAUCUUCUAUUGGCUUCUAGAAUCCGGUCGUCUGUAGCUAGUCUUGGUCAAUGUCAACAGACCUUUUCUUCUGCAAAUCCAUUGGCUGUUAGAACUUAUCUUCAUUGGUUGACUCUGAUAAAAAAACAAGUAUCAACACAUGCCCCCAAUUUUGGAAUAUAAUAUUAUGUUCCAAAAUUCUCUUCUUUCAUAAGCAGUAUCAUAGAUUCUUAGUCGAUAUCUCCCCAAAGCAGAAAGAGUCAUUGCCGCAAUUAUAAUAUCUUUUCCCCGAAUUUUUUGAUAGCAUCCUCCCUAUUUUUCUAGAUUUACCCUGUGGAAAUUGUUAUAUAACUACUCUACCCCUUUC